rnacentral:piRNA from 1 species
UACCUAUAGCCCCUGAAUACAUGCUCAGGUA